rnacentral:tRNA from 1 species
GCGGUCGUGGCCGAGUGGUUAAGGCGAUCUUAAGAUGGGGUCUCCCCGCACAGGUUUGAAUCCUGUCGACUGUG